GAUGAACGCUGGUGGCGUGCCUAAUACAUGCAAGUCGAGCGAACGGACGAGAGGCUUGCUUCUCUGAUGUUAGCGGCGGACGGGUGAGUAACACGUGGAUAACCUACCUAUAAGACUGGGAUAACUUCGGGAAACCGGAGCUAAUACCGGAUAAUAUUUUGAACCGCAUGGUUCAAAAGUGAAAGACGGUCUUGCUGUCACUUAUAGAUGGAUCCGCGCUGCAUUAGCUAGUUGGUAAGGUAACGGCUUACCAAGGCAACGAUGCAUAGCCGACCUGAGAGGGUGAUCGGCCACACUGGAACUGAGACACGGUCCAGACUCCUACGGGAGGCAGCAGUAGGGAAUCUUCCGCAAUGGGCGAAAGCCUGACGGAGCAACGCCGCGUGAGUGAUGAAGGUCUUCGGAUCGUAAAACUCUGUUAUUAGGGAAGAACAUAUGUGUAAGUAACUGUGCACAUCUUGACGGUACCUAAUCAGAAAGCCACGGCUAACUACGUG
rnacentral:rRNA from 1 species